rnacentral:rRNA from 1 species
AUUGAACGCUGGCGGCAGGCCUAACACAUGCAAGUCGAACGGCAGCACAGUACUAGCUUGUGGGUACAGGGGCCGACGGGUGGGCGAGGCAUGGAUAAAUCGGAGGCUGCGUUGGCUUGGGUCAGGACGUAGGGGAUAUUACGCCAAUAGCGCAGAGGGCCUACGGGUGAAAUCAUGGGAUCUUCGGCCCUCGCGUGAGUGUAGGAGCCGAUGGCGGAUUAGCUAGUUGGCGGGGUAAAGGCCCACCAAGGCGACGAUCCGUAGCUGGUCUGAGAGGAUGAUCAGCCACACUGGAACUGAGACACGGUCCAGACUCCUACGGGAGGCAGCAGUGGGGAAUAUUGGACAAUGGGCGAAAGCCUGAUCCAGCCAUACCGCGUGGGUGAAGAAGGCCUUCGGGUUGUAAAGCCCUUUUGUUGGGAAAGAAAAGCAGGAGGUUAAUACCCCGCUGUUCUGACGUUACCAAAAGAAUAAGCACCGGCUAACUUCGUG